ACCGGUCCUCAGUUGGCUGGAUGUCUCUAUUUUGGUAGAAAGUUAUUUUUUUCAAUAACUAUCCUAUACUAAUAAAUGUGAAUAAUAUGCUUUAUUAUUCCUGUGGCAAGGCUGCAGUGGCCCACAUGGGUGGUUGGCGAAAUGAAUGUCAUACUGCAGACCUGGUCAGGAAGGCUGCUGCUCCUGAGACAAGGAAGGUGCUGCCUGGUGGGGAAGUAACCGAAGUCAGAUGCUUGCUCCAGUGUUACCCUGGACCACAGCCAACCACAAGCUCUAUGGAGGGGAAGAUUUCCAUGAGGCCUGCUCUCAAGGCUGGCAGGUGAUGCUGACUUGGCAUUCAGCUUUCGGUUUGAGUUGUCAACCAAAUGUGGUUUGGUUCUCCUCCAGAGAGACUCCACCUGGGAGUUCUCACUGCAUGUCUGCUGAAUUCCAAGAAGAAGGCUUCCUAAAAUGAAUGGCGAAAGCUUCUGAACUCUUCAAGUCCAUUUUCAGAAGUUACACAGUGCCAUUUCUGCUACUCUGUGUUGAUGAAAAUAAUCCACAGGAAAAAACUCAGUUUCUAGGAGAGGGAAAAUAGCCUCGAUUCUCAAUGAGACAAAUGGGUAAGACUUUGCAGCUAUCUUAUAUGCCCUACUUUCUCAUAUGUCUUCUUGACAAAAACAAAAUAUGUCAGUGGUAACUCAAGAGACCAUUUCCUUUCUUUUAAUCACAAAGUUCAACAAGUUAUACAUAGUUAACAUUACCACAUUUUGACAAUGCUAACUAUACAUUUUUUAUAUUUUAUACAUCAAGAAACAUGAUCAACAGUAUUCUACAUUUAAAACUCCUAGCAUAUUAUUUUUCUUUAUAUGAGGAUGCAGCUUCAAUAGUGGUUUAGAUUAAAUAUUAAAACGAGGGAAUUUUAUGGCAUACUUAGCAUUACUUAUGCUCUUUUCAAACUAUGAAAGUUUAGGAUUUUACUUUUUCUAUGCUCAAUGUUGUUAUGCUUGAAUGUGAGUGGCAUGACUCUGCUACAAUAAAACCUUUGACAGAUGAAAAAAGAAUGACCAGACCGAUCAUGUAUGUUAGAAGAGGUUGGGCUAUAAUGCCUUAAUACUCAUAUCUGUGGCUUAAUACAAUGAAAGGUGUUUUUCUCACAUACUACAUGAAUAAUGUAGGCUGGUGGGAGUAUUGUUUUCUGCAGUAACUCAGGGACCCAAGAUGAUAGAAUGCUCACUUCUCAUUGUGUCAUUAUCUGUACAUAUGACCUUCUAGUAACAGAGCACAAAAUUAGAUGGUUGGUACUGGCUCAUUUUUGCUUUCAGAUGGUCCUAACUAUCUAUUGCACAUGCUUUUCAUCUUAAUUAAUAAUUAUAGCUCCACACAAACGAAAAGGGAAUUUGAUAGUUGGGGAGACAGAUGGAAUACCAAGUGUACAUCUUUCUUUCUACAUAGGCUGGCAUUGCUUCUAUCCAGUGUGAUUUAAGAAGACAUCAGAAAUUCUCAUGUUUAGAAAAACUGUCCUGCAAGUUAAUUAUGCUCAAAUGUCCAUUAUUUGAGAUUUAUUCCAGCAUAUUAAGAUAGUAUUUCUCAUUAACAUAAUUAUGAACUUAUACAUUUAAUGCUGAAUACUUGGAAUCAUUAUUAGUAUUAACAGCUUGGUGAGAAAAAAGUUAUUAAGAUUUUUUUUAAUAGAUGAACUUAGUAAAUUAUAACUUGGUAGCAUGAAAUCUAUACUCAAUUCAGAAAGUCAGGCUUGAGUAGCAUGUUUUAUUGAGGGAUUCUGUGCAACUCAGGCAAAGAUAAUGGAACUAGGCUUCUUGGAGUAAUAGAGAUAUCACAGGAAAGGGCUUGCUGAAAAAGUUGUGGCGGGGAAGCAAAACCAACCUUACUUUAGUGACUUACUCUAAAAAUACCAACUAAAAAAUUGUAAGGAUCUUUGGUGCUGUUCUUCAAAUGUUUUACAUUCUAUGUCUCCAGAGCUGAUGGUUACUUUUCACCUUCUAUUUAUUGUUGGAUAAAGGCUUGCAAACUAUUCAGGGCAGCUUUGUGGGCAUGUGACUGUGCAGUCUCAUAGGUCCCUGUUUAGAACAGUCCAUGAUGGAUUUAAUUUUCUGCUGUUGCCAUCUUUAAAGACAUCUUUAAAGUGUUAUAAGAGAUAUCACAUUUUAAUUUUGUAUUGAGCACCAUAACUUACAGAGCUAGUCCUGUUACUAGUUGUGGGUAAUCACUUGUAAGUGCAAGUGAUGUGUGUCACUCCUGGAAUAGUGCAUUUAUAGUCAGGGUAAAAUCCUUCUCCAACAGCACAUGAUCCAGGUUUCUCUGUUAGCUUGGGCCCACGAGUGAGUUUCAUUGUGAGCAGAGGUGCCAGCUGAAAACAAUGGCCAUGUCAAAUGAAUGAAUAAUAAACUUGCAGUAGACUGCAAAAAUACUGACACGACUCAGCAUUUCAUGUGUGUCUGCCCCUUAUGAAUGAGCUUUUCUAGAUCCUCCCAUCAAGUGUGAAGUCUGUUUUUCCAUUCCUUGAAUCUCAGCCUUCUUGUGACUUGCUUUGGGCAAUAAAUUGUGGUGGUGGUGAUGUCAUUCCUGAUCUGAACCUGGCCCUUAAGAGGCCGUCCAUGUUUUCUCUGUCACUUUUAGAGAUCUUAUAGCUGUCAUGUGAACAAGCAGGGGCUAACUUGGUGAUGGAUGAGCAGAGACCUUGAGGAGCAGAGCUGAACCAUCCCAACUAAGACCACAGGGAUGUGUGAGCAUACAGCCAUAAGCAUCAAGGUUACCAGCAGACAGCCCCCAGCUGACCACAGAUGCAGGAAUGAUCUCCUCUGAGAAGAGUUAUCUCUACAGAAGAAGUGCUCAGGAGACAUAUUAGUUUUGAGCUAUUGACUUUUUUGUUUUGUUUUUGUUAUUUUACUUGGCAAUAAGAGCUGAUACAAAGAUUUGGAACAUAAUUGUUAUCACAAC